GGGGGAGAGGUGGAGAGGAUGGGGUACUGAAAGUGAGAAUAAGCUUCAUGUGCAGAGACCUAGGAAACUCAAAAUUCCAGUGCUAACACUGGAAGCCUUUGGAGAGGAGGAGGUGAAAUUGUAAUGUUAGUAGUUUAUAUAAUGAUGUGAGUUUGGAAAGUGAAAAGUUUGGGAAGGACGCAGGCUGAGGAAGGCAAAGAUGAGCAAGGUAUAGCAGGGAUGUCAGAACCAAAGAGAGGUGAGCAAUAUGGAGGGGGAAAAAAAAAACUGAUUGAGAAACAGAGAUAGUUGGGAAUAGCAACAGCUGUUACUGUUGCGGUGCUAGAGUAGAGCCUUAGGACUCAGAGGUCCCCUCAGAAAUGGAGGAGGAGAAGGGCCCUGGAAGAGCCCAGGGAGGGUUCCACCCCCACUGGACUGAAAGCAGGGUGCAGGGAAAUGGGACAUCAGUGGAGAAACCCUACCAAGCUGACUGAUGUACCUGGGAAGUUUACCCUAGCAGAUCCAUUGGUUAAAUUGCAGCUAGGAGAGCAGGAUAAAGAGGUUUAUUUUCUAGUGUGUACAGGUGCCUCUUACCACCCGUAGAUGAUUUUGCAACAGCAGUAGUAGGAACUACUGCCCAACAAGAAAGAGUUUACCUUUUUGGGAUCAAUUAAAUAUAGGCUGAGAAAACAAGUAGGAAUACAUAAAUUCUUGUACAUGCCAGAUUCUCCAAAACCAUUACUCUGGCAAGACUUAUUAGAAUAAGUGGAUGCAGAGAUUAAAUUCAAUAAAACUGGAGCUAAGGGUCAAACAAUACUAACUGAUUGAAAAUUGUAAGUCUGGCUUUAACACAAACUGGGAAAAACAAUGUUGUACCCCCAGAAGUUGCAGAAAUCUUAGAUAAGGUAUGCUUAGGAGUGUGGGUACCAGGAAUACCUAGCAGAGCCAAAAUGUAGCCCUAGGUUAAAAGCAAGAGCUAGAGCUAGCCCAGUCAGAGUAAAGCAGUAUAUGCAACUGUAGAAGGAUAAAAGAAAUAAUAGAUAAUGUUUGGAUUUUGGAUUACUAAUUGAAUGUGAAUCCAAAUACAAUACUCCAAUCUUGCCAAUGAAAAUUGGAUAGCAAGUGCUAUAGUUUGGUACAAGUUUUGAGGGCAAGUAAUAGAAUUGUUAAAUGCAUACACUCCAUGGUGGCAAAUUCAUACACUUUAUUAACCAAGUUAGGAAAUAAGUAGGUGGAGUUUACCUUCUGAAUUUGAAGUAUGCCUUUUCUGCCAGGUUUGGCCAAAAGAAGCCUAAGGUUAUUUGCCUUUGAAUAGGAGACCCCUAAUAUGAGAUGAAAAAGACUCAGUUAACCUGGACAGUGUUACCCAGGGUUGUGAGAACGGCCCAAUGAAUUUUGAGAACUGGUAAACUCAUGAGCCUUAGAUUUGGGUUCCUCCAUCCCAUGGUGGAACUUUACUGCAGUAUGUGGAUGCCACGGAAGCAAAAGAGGACUGUGUGCAAUGAAUCUCUUGUUUUAAAUAACUAUCAAGUUUCUCAACAGAAGGCAUAAAUAACUCAACAGCAAGUGACCCUAUUUGGGAUAAGAGAUUACAGCUGGACUUGGAAAGGACUGCCAGGAAGGAAACAAUCUGCCAGACUCCAGAACCUCAAACAGCUGAGGAGCUCCAGACUUUCCUGGGGAUGACAAGAUGGUGCUGCCUACAACUAUAGAAUACUGGUAAAAUCCCUCCAUGCCCUUUUGAAAUCCUGUCCAAAGGUCAUCAUACAGGUUGAGGAAGACAAAUAACAAGGUUUACCUGUGGCAAUUAGACACAGACUCCAUUGUUAGUGUAGAACAAGAACUUUUAUUGUGUGUGAUGAACAAUAUGCACUUGGUCAAGUGCCUUAUUAAAUGUGACCCUCUUGCCAAUGCGUGUGGCAGUGCUGGCUCUUCCAUCCUGCCCUGAAGUAGAUAGCGCUGGAGCUGGGCUUGUCCCUCUUGUGCCAUCCCUCAGCACUACAUUACUGCAAGUGUUGGACUGAGGCACCGGCUCUGUCAGCCUCAUCUCAAGUCCACUGUACCUCAUCAGCGUCUCUCUGUAGUGGGUGAUGAGGUUGUAGAGGCUAUCAAAUACCAGGUUGUCAGUUAAGAACCUGUGGAUGUUGGUGUCCUGCCGCCAAUGGAUGCGGAAAUGCUGCACUUUUUCAUCACACCAGAUGGACAGAACAUAGUCUCCGACAAAUGUCUCACUCUCCCUCACCAGGAAGGAGCCAUCAGGUGCCCCCAUCUCAAUGCAGUACUCUGUUAGCAGCCGCUCAGUAAUGUGCCGCCCACUGCACCCUGCUCCCAGCUUGCCGUGGAACCAGUCCUGCACGAGAUGCAGCUCAAUGUUGGCGCUCACCUCCUUUUGCGCAGGUCAUCCCCCCCGUCUGUUCCUGGUUGGGACAACGUAAACCGGGUUCCAUACAUAGUUGAUGGAAUCUGCCACCAUUUGGCAAUCCGCCUUCUGCUCCUUUGUCACACACGAACCCAUGGUUCCUUGCUCCUAACCGCUGUGAAGCCACCUCAGGUUCCGCAGGGCUUGCCAGUGGUCUUUAUAGCGUUUGCUCACACCUAUGCCAGGUGUACAAGCUAGACAACUCGUGAUCAUGUAGAGAGGGUCUGUCUGGUACAAAUAGUUACAAUCUUUCGGUUUUCUCUGCUGAACUUGUUUACAACUGCUAAGGUCUUUUGCUAGACAGAGCAAGGAUGGCUUUAUUUUCUCCUGAUAAUAUACAAAUUAAAGGAAUUGAAGUAACGGACUGGACAAAUUAACUGAGGCUUGGAAAGUAUGUAGAAACAGGGAUUGUAAAGAAAGAAAGAAAUUGGGAAGAACAGUGGCAGUUGCACUAGAGCAGGAGGAUGUAGAAACUCUAAUGUAGCAUACUGCCUGAAAUACUCUGAAGAAUGUAUAGAUGGAUAGAAUGUAUCAUCUAUCCAUUUCCAAUUGCUUUUUCAGAAUAAAAGAAGGCUAGUUACUAGUGAUUUAGUUUUUUGAGAUAUGUUGUCUACAUAUUUUUUUGUUUUCUGCCCCCCUUGCCUUGUUCUUUAUUAUUUCUGCUUGGAUUGCACACUGAGAAGAGCUAAGGGCAAGGAAUUUCUCUCUUGGACUAUAUCAGUAUAGAUAAUGGGGACAGAGACUCAAUCAACAGCCAUAAUUAUUACUAUAAGGAGGGGAAAAAAACAACAACAACAACAAAACCCCUCUCAAAUCUGUGUUCUUAUUAUUCACAAUCACAUACAAAAAAGCCCCAGACAGACUAUGUGUUAUAAUGGUGAUUGCUGAUAAAUAGUUUUGCUUUUGUCUCUGGGCAUUUUUUUUGUGGGUGAUUUUGUUUGUGUGUGUGUGUGUGUGUGUGUGUGUGUGUGAUUCGCUACGUGCAGGACUGCUUAGAUAUUCUCAUGUUUAAUUAAAUGCAUAGAUUACUUUCCUACAAGAAGGACAAGCUAUGCAAACUAUUUCAGGGUUUCCAUGUCACUACAGCCUUUUCAGCUUUGCCCAACAUUGUUGAAAAUUUCACAGAUGUUGCAUUCUUGGUGAGAAAGCUGUGCUCCACCAGAUCUUCCUAGCUUAAUUAGUUAGCAUUGCUUCAGGAUGAAGGAUGGCACAGUUUAAACAAGCUCCCCAUCACAAUUCACCUGCAAGGUGCUCAUGCCCUACCCUGGGGAUUUGUAAUAGACAGGUAAGUUAUGGCCAUACUGAAGCAACACCAAGCUUCUUUCUGUGUACACUUAAUACCUGCAGUCAGACACAGCACUGGGCAUCACAUCUGCCAAAAUGCAGGCCUAAUGCUGCAUGACCACACCUCUUACUAUAACUACACGCUUCAUUUUUCUGAAUGUUAAAAAGUUUCAUAAUAUUCUCUAGGGUCUGUUUUCACUUAAAAAGAAUUACCAAACUCAGAAUAUGCCCUGCUUAAACAAGCUCCACACUGUGAAGCUUUGAUCAAAUAACUAACAUUAUCUAAGGGAUUACUAAAGCUGGCACUUAAGGAUCACAAAGCACUUCUCAAAUACUCAGCAUUUAUUUGAAGAAGAUGACUUUCUAGAAAUAUGCUUUCUGUGCCUUUCCCACAGUGGAGGGAAAGUUCAAUUUAUCUUUUCUAAAGAGAUGAUACUGUACUAAAUAAAUAAGAUUAUUUGUUGCAUGUUUAAGGUGAUGAGCUUUCUAAUCCUUUAUUUUUAUACUUAGAGUGAUAGUUACUCUCUUGUAACUUUUACAUUUGGAAGUCUUUCCUAAUAUUUAUUCUUUUCAGGCCAACUGAGUAGAAAAGAGUGAGCCAGUGAUUAGGAUGCCUGCCUGAGACACACUUUGCAAUAGAUUCACUAUGGGUUUGGUUUUAAGCAAAUCUCUGAACCUUUCUAUUUUCCUUCAACGCAUGUUGAUGAUAAUAUGCCUCAUUGACAGCAGAGUAACAAAAUUCUUUGGCUCAGUAUGGCAGCUGUAGUCAUGUAAGACUGUGAAAUAGAACAUUAUGAAAUAUGUCAACUGUUCCACUCCGGAGCAUGGAGUUAUCCAGAAACCCUUCCCCCUUCUCCAAGGCAUUACACAGCCCUGCCUACAGCUUUUAGCUAGGAUUGUCAUUCUGUUACAUGUCCAGGCUUUUCCUUUCUAAUGUGGACUGGUUUGAUUCCCACAAAUGAGCCUGCAAGCAAAUGAUUGCACUGUUUUCAUUUCACACAGCAUGCUUUGUCCAAAAGGCUGGAUUCUGCAUGAGGUGAGUGUGGAAAUGGGCAAAGGGAACUCCUCUAGUCCUGUGCAGGUUUGCUGGUGGGUAGGAUAGUAAACUCCUGGAGGAAAUGUGGCAGUAAAAACCAUGCAGGCCUGAGCUUGAUUAUGGUCUAUUUCUUUCAGCAUCCCAAUCUUCUUCUAAUCCAAAGAGAAUGGGUUCAGUUAUCUACUAUUCUGCACCUCUCCCCUUCCCCUUCCCCCCUAUCCCCCUUGGCCUCCAUUUUGAAUAAAGAGUUUUAAGGCACUUGGAAGAAAUCUGGAGUUUGAGUAAAGGCAACAGAAAAUUAAGUUCCAAAAACAUUAGAAAACAGUACAGAAGUGCACUCUAGGACAUUCCCUAACCAGGCCUUCUAGUUAGUUGGAUUUUUAUUUAAGAAGAACACAGUCCUUCUCAGCCUUCUGAGAUUUACAGUUCUUUUAAUCAUUUACAUAUAUUCUUGGAUCAUCUUUAUGCUUGCAUUAUCUAGCCAUAUGCAUUGUCUCUACACUAAAUAUCCUGGCCUGUGUAUCCUCAUGAUAAUCCUGCAGAUAAUGCAGAGCCCCAGGCAUUCCUCAUAUGAGUUAACUAUUCCACCAUCACAGUGAGGAGCUGAGCUGCUACCUGUGGCAGCACUAACUGCUUAAUUAAUUUACUAGAUCCUGCUAUUAAAAUUUGGAGUGUUGAGCAAGUGGAGCAAUUUCCUUCAUAGAGAAAGGUCAAACUGGGAAAACAUCAUCUACAGAGAUGUGCAAGGGUUAUUGUUACAAAUACAGCUUAAGGAUGUGGGGCUUCUAAUCGCAUCUACCAGAAUAACUCCAUUGUCUUUGGGAGGAGUUGGGUUUAUAAGACAGUCUUUCUAUUAAGAGGCAAGCAGUCCUAGAAAGAAAACAAGCCAUGAAGGGGAAGAUGGAAGUAAAAUAGAAAGCAGGUAUAUCUGCAGCCUCAGAGGGGGAAAUGGAGACACUCCUACCUUGCCCCAACACAGUAUUGAUCUCUGGGGAAAUCUUUUCUGAAAUGUUAUAUCUUCUGAGUAUAAAAAUGGAGUCAUUCUUUGCCAGUUUUCUUUCCAUAGUGCAUUGACUUUUGAUGUUUCUUUUGUAGUCUCAGGUCCAGAAGUCAAGUUAUGAUGUGAGAAGUUCAGAUCUCAUUUGAAAUAGCAGAAAGGGGUUUAUAGUCUCAUAGCUGAAGAGUGAAAUGUGGGGGCAGGGAGAAGAACCUCUAAGGUUCAAAAGCAGUGGGUUAGAAAGGUCAAAUGCCAAAUGCAAACCCAACUCCUUAGUGUUUUACAUCUGUGGGAGAAAAACACUGGUGACAUAAAAGUGCAGUAAUGCCAAUUACAGUCAAGAGUUCUCAAACACUUUUGUCAUGACAAAGGUAUUAGCACAACUGCCCUAGCAAAUUUUUCAGCUUUCUUCCUCCCAACUCUCAGCAUUUAAAUGAUUUCCUUUAGAAGCAGGUUUUGUCUUACUUCUGCCUAUAGAGUGUGGAAGCUGACUUGGCAGCACACGGUAUCCACCAUGCUCUUGCUUUUGGCUAUAGGUGAAGACACCUUUUUGCAGACAGAACCAAAUUCUCCAUUCACUUACUCCUGCACUGCAGUCUCACUGGUGGAAGAGCAGAUGCUAGCACAGGACUGUGAAAUACUUUGCAGCUCUCCAACACAAAAUAUACUGUUCAAACAGAAGGUAUUACUAAUCCAUGAAGUAGAGGAGACUAUCUGAUAAUUUGGAAGAAAACCUAAAACUUUUAAACAAGACCAAACUAGUCACCUGAGAGAGAGUGGAGGGGACAAAAAUGUAUUUCAAAGAGUAGGAAGGCAGCAAUCUUGUUGGCACACACUGGUAAAUACACGCAUUUCUCUCAUUUUCCAUCUGAAAAUUGAAGUUAUUAUGAGGCUCAUACUUUGUCAUACUUCACUGAAACACCUGGAGUCAGGCUCUCUGCAUCUGGCCUUUCUAAGAGAUCCUCAGUACCUUACAACUUGUACAUCCAAGUAUCCCAGUAAAAUUUUUUCUGUACUUAUUGGUAUAGUCUCACUGUGAUAUAAAUGGCAUGUUCACACACAUCUGACUAACAACUGAUAAACAGUGUUGAACAGACUGAGACUUUAUGAAUAAAGAUGAUUUGUUAUGUAUCAGUCAACUUUAUCUCCUUCCUCUGCUUGUGUUCAGUCAUCCUUCAGGAGAAGCGGCAGUGUGGUGCCCCAGGGCUGAGCAGGGACUUCACUGAAGCCUCCUCACAAGGUUCUCCAUCUGCCUCUUGUUUCAGCAAUACCUCAACACCCCAAAUGGGAUCCAGAUCAGCUUGCACCUCAUACAAAUGAAAGGCUUGAAUAGUAUGGAGUAAAAGCAUUUCAAAAACUGAGUGUACCCUUUGAAUCAAAAUAUAAAUAAAUGUUGGAAUGGUAGAA